GCCGGCCUGAGAGGGCGACCGGCCACACUGGGACUGAGACACGGCCCAGACUCCUACGGGAGGCACCGGUGGGGAAUAUUGGGCAAUGGAGGAAACUCUGACCCAGCGACGCCGCGUGCGGGAUGAAGGCCUUCGGGUUGUAAACCGCUUUCAGUAGGGAAGAAGCGAAAGUGACGGUACCUACAAAAGAAGCACCGGCUAACUAUGUGCCAGCAGCCGCGGUAAUACAUAGGGUGCAAGCGUUGUCCGGAAUUAUUGGGCGUAAAGAGCUCGUAGGUCGUUUGUUACGUCGGAUGUGAAAUCCUGAGGCUCAACCUCAGGCCUGCAUUCGAUACGGGCAAACUAGAGUUUGGUAGGGGAGACUGGAAUUCCU
rnacentral:rRNA from 1 species